GUGAGGCCAGCUAAGGCCCGUCCUGGUUUGGGAUUAGGGGGUGAGGAGGUUCUGCUUGGCCUGACUGCCUGCAAUGUGCCAGGAAAACCUCGAGGAACCCAUGGCCCUGCAGGAACUGGACUCGAGCAACGGGGCCCUGCUGCCCUUCUACGACCCCGACACCAGUGUGGUCUACGUCUGCGGCAAGGGUGACUCCAGCAUCCGGUACUUUGAGAUCACA
rnacentral:lncRNA from 1 species